ensembl:lncRNA PIWIL4-AS1 PIWIL4 antisense RNA 1
GUUCUAACCCGAUUCCCUGCUCUGUUAUGUUAUGUCUGCCCUCCUCUGAUGCUUGGGAAAUCGUUUGUUCUGUGGGCUUCUCCUGAGGAGAUGGACGAUUUUCAGAGCUUGCAGAAAGGCCCGUGAGAAGAGCAGGGGAGGUAUAGUCAUUUCCCUUGUUUUACGGCAGAGGAAACUGAAGAUAAAGCUAUGAAGUGAAGCUGGCUAGUGGCUGCCUCAGGGUUACUACUGAUAUCACUGGACCCCUUCAGAACCAAGCAUGAAUGAAGCCUCCAAGGAGGGGACUGAAAAUGGGUACCUCCCUGUCGCUGUCACCCUUAGGAGCUUUUCACAUGGAGUUAGAAUAGAGCCUAAUGGAAGUGGGCAACUUGAAGCACAUUCUUCCCAGCAAUCCUUUUUCCCACCUGCAAGUGAGGCUCUGAGGGAUUCUUCAGAAAUCAAGACUUUGACCCACUCCAUAUUAUGAAUGCCUCAGCCUACAAAGAGCUUGCCUAACCCAACAUCAAGGGGUGGACACGUGAUGCUGGACUUCCAGGUACCAGAAACAGGCCUUACUCCACCUUCUAUGAGCAUAUGCCUACACAGGUAGGCUGGGUAUUGCAUUUUCUGAAGAGCAGAUACUGUAUUUAAUUCAUAGUUGUAUCCCCAGUGCCUUAUGGCAAGCCUGCCAUGUGUUUGUGACUAAUAAUUGUGUGGUGAAUGAAUCAAGUUCCAUAAAGUCUUUAAAUUUCAAA